rnacentral:rRNA from 1 species
GGGUCAGUAGGUUGGUCGUGCCACCGGUACGUACUGGUCUCACUGAUUCCUCCUUCCUGAAGAACCGUAACGCCAUUAAUUUGGUGUUGCGGGGAAACAGGACUGUUACUUUGAAAAAAUUAGAGUGUUUAAAGCAAGCUAACGCUUGUAUACAUUAGCAUGGAAUAAUGAAAUAGGACGAUCGAUCCUAUUUUGUUGGUUUCUAGGAUUGACGUA